rnacentral:rRNA from 1 species
AUGGGAUCUAUUUGGACACGGCGAGAGAGACAGUUUGCGCAUACUCAGGUUAGGGGAUGCUACCCGUCCUUCAUGGCGCAGUUUGAUAGUUUGCACGAGGAUCAAGUUAUUUGGGAUCCAUACUCGCCUCAGGCUAUAUCAUCGAGGUACCCAGUUGGGAUUUCUGGAUUGUGCACUAGAGAUCGGCACUUUUGGAUGACCAAGGCCAAGUUGGUGUUUGACGUGACGGUUGAGGAGAUGUCUCUUCAUAGGGUGAUGAGACAGUUCGGUCUAUAUCAACAGCCUGAGAUUCCAGAUAUUCCACACUUGCCAGACCACGUGCACAAGGACAGUCGCCUAGGAGGAAACAAGUCCAUGGCUUAUUGGCUUCAGAGCAUUACCCCUUACGUUGACGAAUGGACUACCACUGCGACAAAUAUCUGGGGUGAGGUUUGGCCCUUUAACUGGGAAAUGUUCGGGUUGUAUCUGCAGCGUUACUGGCAUACAACGAGGAUCUACUUGGUUCCAUCAGCUGCUCCUGAUCAGAUCGAAGCCCCUCUCACCAGCGAUAUGUACCCAACUGCCUCUGUUGUGGGAACCAAACACCACGCGGGUGACUUGACACUACAGGCGCGAGAGGAGGUUUCCGCUUUAAUGCGGCACUUUCAGAGGGGAGAAACUAUCCCACCGCGAGAGGGCGUCUCAUGGUUGAGGCGUCUUGAUGACAAGCUACGCGGGAUUUACGCAGCUGUUAUGUGUAGACGGACUUCGGAUGUUGCACUUCCUCCUCCAGCACAUCGUCCGCCACGUCCCUCUGUACAGCAUUCAGAACCACGACCCUCUGUGCACCGUUGA